rnacentral:rRNA from 1 species
NCCGCUGAAUUUAAGCAUAUUAAUAAGCGGAGGAAAAGAAACUACAAGGGAUUCCCCUAGUAAUGGCGAAUGAAGCGGGAACAGCUCAAAUUUAAAAUCUCCGUUGCUUGCAACGGCGAAUUGUAGUUUCGAGAAGCACUUUCUCGGCGGAUCCGAGGUCGUCCAAGUUGCUUGGAACAGCACGUCGUAGAGGGUGACAACCCCGUCUGCGGCGAUCUCGGCCGUUCACGAUGUGCUUUCGACGAGUCGGGUUGUUUGGGAAUGCAGCCCAAAAUGGGUGGUAAACUCCAUCUAAAGCUAAAUAUUGGCACGAGACCGAUAGCGAACAAGUACCGUGAGGGAAAGAUGAAAAGCACUUUGAAAAGAGAGUUAAAAAGUACGUGAAACCGUUAAAAGGGAAACGAAUGGGGUUAGCAAUGCGUCGUGCGAGAUUCAGCCGGUGGGUGGGCCAGGCGGGCGGUUGGCGGAUCUGAAUGGACCGCUGCCGUUCGGGUUGGUUUCCCGACCGUCGCACUUCUCGCAGGCGCGCGCCAACGUCGGUUAGGGCUGGGUCUCAAAGGCGGUGGAAAGGUAGGUUUGGACUCUCGGGCCCGAACUGUUACAGUCCUCCGUUCGUCAUGGCCCGGACCUGACCGAGGAGCUUGCGGUGCAUGCCGUUCGGCUAGGAUCCCGUCUUCCCGGUCGGUCGUCGAAUGCGGUGGACUGCGUGCAGUGCGCCGCGACUGCUGCCGGUCGCGAGGGCGGUGAUUUCGUACUAUGCACCCACGACGUUGGCGGUCAUAUGGCCUCAUCCGACCCGUCUUGAAACACGG